AGAACGAACGCUGGCGGCAUGCCUAAUACAUGCAAGUCGAACGAACACUUCGGUGUUAGUGGCGCACGGGUGCGUAACGCGUGGGAAUCUGCCCUUGGGUUCGGAAUAACAGUUGGAAACGACUGCUAAUACCGGAUGAUGACGAAAGUCCAAAGAUUUAUCGCCCAGGGAUGAGCCCGCGUAGGAUUAGCUAGUUGGUGAGGUAAAGGCUCACCAAGGCGACGAUCCUUAGCUGGUCUGAGAGGAUGAUCAGCCACACUGGGACUGAGACACGGCCCAGACUCCUACGGGAGGCAGCAGUGGGGAAUAUUGGACAAUGGGCGAAAGCCUGAUCCAGCAAUGCCGCGUGAGUGAUGAAGGCCUUAGGUUGUAAAGCUCUUUACCGGGAUGAUAAUGACAGUAACCGGAGAAUAAGCUACCGGCUAACGUCCGUGCCAGCAGCCGC
rnacentral:rRNA from 1 species